GAUGAACGCUAGCGGCAGGCUUAACACAUGCAAGUCGAGGGGCAGCAUAAUGGAUAGCAAUAUCUAUGGUGGCGACCGGCGCACGGGUGCGUAACGCGUAUGCAACCUACCUUUAACAGGGGGAUAACACUGAGAAAUUGGUACUAAUACCCCAUAAUAUCAUAGAAGGCAUCUUUUAUGGUUGAAAAUUCCGAUGGUUAGAGAUGGGCAUGCGUUGUAUUAGCUAGUUGGUGGGGUAACGGCUCACCAAGGCGACGAUACAUAGGGGGACGGAGAGGUUAACCCCCCACACUGGUACUGAGACACGGACCAGACUCCUACGGGAGGCAGCAGUGAGGAAUAUUGGUCAAGGGACGCAAGUCUGAACCAGCCAUGCCGCGUGCAGGAUGACGGCUCUAUGAGUGGUAAACUGCUUUUGUACGAGGGUAAACGCAGAUACGUGUAUCUGUCUGAAAGUAUCGUACGAAUAAGGAUCGGCUAACUCCGUG
rnacentral:rRNA from 1 species